GCGCUACAAGGUCAUCGGGAA
rnacentral:snRNA from 1 species